UCCAUAAGUCGCAUGUAUGCAUCAUAUGUUUCAAUCAUAAAUGAUUAAUGUGUCGUGAUCAUAAUGGGAAUUCUACUAAAAAGUUUUAUAACAAUGGAUUGUUUUUCCUUUAUAAGUAAUUCUCAAGACUAUUCUAAAAAUCUAAGAUUAAUAAAUCUGAUCUUUAAAGUGUUUCAUUUAGUAUAAUCAUUGUAUCCUUGAUUGAAUGAUUAAUAUCCUUACAGAAAAUUAUCUCAAAUACUACUGAUUAAUGUUAACACGUCAUGUUUAAUCUGAGCAUAAAAAUAUUCUAAAAGUAUGAAUAUUAAUUCCUUUGAACCAUCUCCCAUAAGUCAAAUAUAAAAUCUUAAUAAAUCUAAAAGAAAAUUGCCUAUCUUUCUAAAACAAGAUUAUUUGUAUUGAAAGCCGAACCAUAACCAGAAUUGUGAUAGAAACAACUAUUUAAGAUAAUUUGAUUAAAACUUAACUGGUAUAUCUUAUUGAUAAUUAUCUUAAGCAAAUAGAAUCUAAGCUAAAUUGCUUCUGAAAAUAAGAAAUUGGUUUGACUUUGAUAAAUCUUCUUAUUGCCUCACAUGGGUGUCCUUGAACCAUAUUAUUUAAUAAAAUUAUCUCUUUAGUUCAAGUGACUUGUGCCUGCUUAUAUUUAGGCAAUCUCUUGAAGUAAAGUGACUCAAAUUCAAUUA
rnacentral:lncRNA from 1 species